GAAGAGCUCGAGAAGAGCUUGCUGUUUUGAAGGUGAAAAUCAAGUGGGGGUGGUUUCUUUUCAAGGAAGAAAUAAACAGUGCAAGCUACGUGGCUUAGCCCUCUCCACAAUCCCCUAAUCACCAUUAAUAAAAUAUCUACAUGUUUAAUGAAGAAAUUCAGCUCAAUGAAUUGAUUGGGUUUAAAAGGCUCCAUCUUCACUACUCAAUAAUAAAAAAAAAAAACUUAAGGCCCAAAUAUAAAAUCAAA
rnacentral:lncRNA from 1 species